UAUAUCUACAAGUGCGAUGGCGCAGUAUCCUAGUCAGCGCUAUCGAUCCUGAAAGCGGGGCUAAAAAUCCGCUAAGGGCACAACGAUGAAGUUCCUGGUGCUGGCUUCUGACGCCCAGUCGGGGGCUGGUGCUGGGAGUUAAGAUAGGUGGGCAAGCUGCAAUGGCAUGCAGCCGAUGACCCAUCUAUCGCGGAGGCCCGAGAGGGUGGUGCUUCAGUAAGAAAGCGCUACUGCUCGGGGAUGAACCUGUAUGCGGCAAACGACGCUGUGUACAGUGUAGCCUGCCUUGAGUGAUAUAGGUGGAUAGCAGUUCACACCUUGGCCGGAAGGCGCCGAAGGCGCGAGGUUAUCGCUGCUUGAAACCUAUGUUGCAAAAGAGGCUAGGGAUCGAUUUGGCUGUUGAGGAAAGCUCCUAGGCUGCUCAUCACGAGGCAUGUUGGGGAUUAAAGUGUGGACUUAGUGGCGAUUCGGUGAAUGCCGUAGGCGACUCGGCAUGACGAUUUUAAAGGGAAACCGCUCCUCCGGCGACGGAGAGUAAUCGUCUGGGAAAUCCUACCGAACCUAAGCCGCAGAGUUUACCCAACAUGCUGCCAUCGCAAUGUAUAUUAUU
rnacentral:sRNA from 1 species